rnacentral:rRNA from 1 species
GCUUGCUACCUGACCUAGCGGCGGACGGGUGAGUAAUGCUUAGGAAUCUGCCUAUUAGUGGGGGACAACAUUCCGAAAGGAAUGCUAAUACCGCAUACGCCCUACGGGGGAAAGCAGGGGAUCUUCGGACCUUGCGCUAAUAGAUGAGCCUAAGUCAGAUUAGCUAGUUGGUGGGGUAAAGGCCUACCAAGGCGACGAUCUGUAGCGGGUCUGAGAGGAUGAUCCGCCACACUGGGACUGAGACACGGCCCAGACUCCUACGGGAGGCAGCAGUGGGGAAUAUUGGACAAUGGGCGAAAGCCUGAUCCAGCCAUGCCGCGUGUGUGAAGAAGGCCUUUUGGUUGUAAAGCACUUUAAGCGAGGAGGAGGCUACUGAGAUUAAUACUCUUGGAUAGUGGACGUUACUCGCAGAAUAAGCACCGGCUAACUCUGUGCCAGCAGCCGCGGUAAUACAGAGGGUGCGAGCGUUAAUCGGAUUUACUGGGCGUAAAGCGUGCGUAGGCGGCUUUUUAAGUCGGAUGUGAAAUCCCUGAGCUUAACUUAGGAAUUGCAUUCGAUACUGGGAAGCUAGAGUAUGGGAGAGGAUGGUAGAAUUCCAGGUGUAGCGGUGAAAUGCGUAGAGAUCUGGAGGAAUACCGAUGGCGAAGGCAGCCAUCUGGCCUAAUACUGACGCUGAGGUACGAAAGCAUGGGGAGCAAACAGGAUUAGAUACCCUGGUAGUCCAUGCCGUAAACGAUGUCUACUAGCCGUUGGGGCCUUUGAGGCUUUAGUGGCGCAGCUAACGCGAUAAGUAGACCGCCUGGGGAGUACGGUCGCAAGACUAAAACUCAAAUGAAUUGACGGGGGCCCGCACAAGCGGUGGAGCAUGUGGUUUAAUUCGAUGCAACGCGAAGAACCUUACCUGGUCUUGACAUAGUAAGAACUUUCCAGAGAUGGAUUGGUGCCUUCGGGAACUUACAUACAGGUGCUGCAUGGCUGUCGUCAGCUCGUGUCGUGAGAUGUUGGGUUAAGUCCCGCAACGAGCGCAACCCUCGCCAUUAGUUGCCAUCAUUUAGUUGGGAACUCUAAUGGGACUGCCGGUGCUAAGCCGGAGGAAGGUGGGGAUGACGUCAAGUCCUCAUGGCCCUUACAGGGUGGGCUACACACGUGCUACAAUGGCAACUACAGAGGGUUAAUCCUUAAAAGUUGUCUCAGUUCGGAUUGUCCUCUGCAACUCGAGGGCAUG